rnacentral:rRNA from 1 species
ACGGGAGGCAGCAGUGGGGAAUAUUGCACAAUGGGGGAAACCCUGAUGCAGCGACGCCGCGUGAACGAUGAAGUAUUUCGGUAUGUAAAGUUCUAUCAGCAGGGAAGAUAAUGACGGUACCUGACUAAGAAGCGCCGGCUAAAUACGUGCCAGCAGCCGCGGUAAUACGUAUGGUGCAAGCGUUAUCCGGAUUUACUGGGUGUAAAGGGUGCGUAGGUGGCAAAGCAAGUCUGAAGUGAAAUCCCGGGGCUCAACCCUGGAACUGCUUUGGAAACUGUUUAGCUAGAGUGCAGGAGAGGUAAGUGGAAUUCCUAGUGUAGCGGUGAAAUGCGUAGAUAUUAGGAGGAACACCAGUGGCGAAGGCGGCUUACUGGACUGUAACUGACGUUGAGGCUCGAAAGCGUGGGGAGCAAACAGGAUUAGAUACCCUGGUA